rnacentral:rRNA from 1 species
GUCCACGCCGUAAACGAUGAAUGCUAGCCGUUGGAUAGCUUGCUAUUCAGUGGCGCAGCUAACGCAUUAAGCAUUCCGCCUGGGGAGUACGGCCGCAAGGUUGAAACUCAAAGGAAUUGACGGGGGCCCGCACAAGCGGUGGAGCAUGUGGUUUAAUUCGACGCAACGCGCAGAACCUUACCAGGGUUUGACAUCCUGAGACCGCUCCCUAAUAGGAGUUUUCCCGCAAGGGACUCAGAGACAGGUGCUGCAUGGCUGUCGU